rnacentral:rRNA from 1 species
GGUCAAGCGAACAAGAGCACAGAGUGAAUGCCUUGGCACUGGGAGCCGAUGAAGGACGUGGUAAGCUGCGAAAAGCUUGGGGGAGCUGCAAACGAGCUUUGAUCCCGAGAUGUCCGAAUGGAGCAAUCCGGCAGGAGUAAUAACCUGUCACCGUAUACUAAAUUCAUAGGUAUACGGAGGGAACCGCCUGAACUGAAACAUCUAAGUAGGGCGAGGAAGAGAAAUCAACAGAGAUUCCGCUAGUAGUGGCGAGCGAACGCGGAAGAGGCCAAACCAGAGAUAGCAAUAUCUCUGGGGUUACGGACUGCAUUUAGCAUUGUCAAAGUCUAACCGAACUGCAUGGGAAGGCAGACCGGAGCGGGUGAGAGUCCCGUAGGUGAAAGACCGAGACAGCGAGCAGUAUCCAGAGUACCGCCGGACACGUGAAACCCGGUGGGAAGUCGGGGGGACCACCCUCCAAGCCUAAAUACUACCCAGUGACCGAUAGUGAAUAGUACUGUGAAGGAACGGUGAAAAGCACCCCGGGAGGGGAGUGAAAUAGAACCUGAAACUCUGUGUUUACAAGCACCGAAAGCGCGUCAAUGCGCGAUCGGGUACUUUUUGUAGAACGGUCCGGCGAGCGUAUGUAACGAGCAAGGUUAAGGGCUUAAGGCCUGCAGCCGAAGCGAAAGCGAGUCUGAAUAGGGCGAAUAGUUCGUUGCAUAGGGCCCGAAACCGGGUGACCUAUCCAUGUCCAGGUUGAAGUGAGGGUAAAACCUCAUGGAGGACCGAACCGACCCCCGUUGAAAAGGUGGCGGAUGAGGUGUGGAUAGCGGAGAAAUUCCAAUCGAACCCGGAUAUAGCUGGUUCUCCCCGAAAUAGCUUUAGGGCUAGCGUUGACUUAGAUUACCGGAGGUAAAGCACUGAAUAGGCUAGGGGCCGAGAGGUUACCGAACCUUAUCAAACUCUGAAUGCCGGAUAAUUGAUGGUCAGCAGUCAGACAGCGUGAGAUAAGUUUCGUUGUCGAGAGGGAAAAAGCCCAGACCCACAGCUAAGGUCCCGAAACACGUUUAAGUGGAGAAGGAUGUGGAGUUGUAUAAACAACCAGGAUGUUGGCUUAGAAGCAGCCACACAUUAAAAGAGUGCGUAAUAGCUCACUGGUCGAAUGACUCUGCGCCGAAAAUGUAACGGGGCUAAAACGUGUACCGAAGCUUGGGAUUCCAAAUGGGAUGGUAGGGGAGCGUCGUGUGAGGGGUGAAGUCAUAGCGUAAGCGGUGGUGGACUUCACACGAGUGAGAAUGCCGGAAUGAGUAGCGAGAAUUAUGUGAGAAUCAUAAUGGCCGAAAGCCUAAGGUUUCUGGGGGAAGGUUCGUCCUCCCCAGGUAAGCCGGGAGCUAAGGUGAGGCCGAAAGGCGUAGCCGAUGCACAUACAGUAGAAAUUCUGUAGCCACCGAAAACUUAAACUAACUGACACUUUGAAAGGGCAUAUCCCGGGCGUUGGUAGCCCCGGGCGUAAGGGACCGAAAUUUAGUAGGGAAGUAUGCUUAGACGAAGGCGAGAAAAGGUUAGUGUAUGUCCAAGGUGCCCGUACCGCAAACCGACACAGGUAGGUAGGAAGAGAAUUCUAAGGCCAGCGGGAGAAGGGUUGUUAAGGAACUCGGCAAGUUGACCCCGUAACUUCGGAAGAAGGGGUGCUCACAGCAAUGUGAGCCGCAGAGAAUAGGUCCAGGCGACUGUUUAGCAAAAACACAGCUCUAUGCUAAAUCGAAAGAUGAUGUAUAUGGGGUGACGCCUGCCCGGUGCUGGAAGGUUAAGAGGAGAUGUGAGAGCAUUGAAUUGAAGCCCCAGUAAACGGCGGCCGUAACUAUAACGGUCCUAAGGUAGCGAAAUUCCUUGUCAGGUAAGUUCUGACCCGCACGAAUGGCGUAACGAUCUGGACACUGUCUCAACAGCCCACCCGGCGAAAUUGUAGUACCGGUGAAGAUGCCGGUUACCCGCGACUAGACGGAAAGACCCCAUGGAGCUUCACUGCAGCUUGAUAUUGGAUUUCGGUAUUUAAUGUACAGGAUAGGUGGGAGCCUAUGAAGCGUGGACGUCAGUUCACGUGGAGGCGCCGUUGGGAUACCACUCUUUAGGUACUGGAAUUCUAACCUGCGGCCAUGAAUCUGGCCGGGGGACAUUGUCAGGCGGGCAGUUUGACUGGGGCGGUCGCCUCCGAAAAGGUAACGGAGGCGCUCAAAGGUUAGCUCAGCAUGGACGGAAACCAUGCGUCAGAGUGUAAACGCAUAAGCUAGCCUAACUGCGAGACCGACGGGUCGAGCAGUAACGAAAGUUGGAGUUAGUGAUCCGGUGGUAUGUGAGUGGAAAUGCCAUCGCUCAACGGAUAAAAGCUACCCUGGGGAUAACAGGCUGAUCUCCCCAAGAGUCCACAUCGUCGGGGAGGUUUGGCACCUCGAUGUCGGCUCAUCGCAUCCUGGGGCUGUAUUCGGUCCCAAGGGUUUGGCUGUUCGCCAAUUAAAGCGGUACGCGAGCUGGGUUCAGAACGUCGUGAGACAGUUCGGUCCCUAUCUGUCGUGGGCGCAGGAUAUUUGAGAGGAGCUGUCCUUAGUACGAGAGGACCGGGAUGGACGCACCUCUGGUGCACCAGUUGUCACGCCAGUGGCACAGCUGGGCAGCUAUGUGCGGAUCGGAUAAACGCUGAAAGCAUCUAAGCGUGAAGCCGUCCUCAAGAUAAGAUAUCCCACUGCUAUAAGCAGGUAAGACCCCCGGAAGACUACCGGGUUGAUAGGCUCAAGGUGUAAGCACGGCGACGUGUUAAGCCAGCGAGUACUAAUCGGUCGAGGGCUUGACCUU